GUGCCCACUUCAGUAACACAUAUACUAAAAUUGGAAAAAUACAGAGAAGAUUAGUGUGGCCUUUGGGCAAAGAUGACAUGCAAAUUCAUGCUGGGUGCGGUAGCACACUUUA
ensembl:snRNA U6 U6 spliceosomal RNA